GUGGGGAAUCUUCCGCAAUGGACGAAAGUCUGACGGAGCAACGCCGCGUGAACGAUGACGGCCUUCGGGUCGUAAAGCUCUGUCAUCAGGGACGAACGGCCGGUGGAGUGGAAAGCCACCGGAUUGACGGUACCUGAGAAGGAAGCCACGGCUAACUACGUGCCAGCAGCCGCGGUAAUACGUAGGUGGCAAGCGUUGUCCGGAAUUAUUUGGCGUAAAGCGCGCGCAGGUGGGAUCUUAAGUCCAUUUUUAAAGUUCGGAGCUCAACUCCGUGAUGGGAUGGAAACUGGGAUUCUUGAGUACCGGAGAGGAAAGCGGAAUUCCCCGUGUAGCGGUGAAAUGCGUAGAUAUGGGGAGGAACACCAGUGGCGAAGGCGGCUUUCUGGACGGUGUCUGACACUGAGGCGCGAAAGCCAGGGGAGCGAACGGGAUUAGAUACCCGUGUAGUCC
rnacentral:rRNA from 1 species